GAUCAUGGCUCAGGACGAACGCUGGCGGCGUGCUUAACACAUGCAAGUCGAACGGAAAGAGAUGAAAGAGCUUGCUCUUUUAUUAAUUUCAGUGGCAAACGGGUGAGUAACACGUAAACAACCUGCCUUAAGGAUGGGGAUAACAGACGGAAACGACUGCUAAUACCGAAUACGCUCUAAGCAUCGCAUGAUGCAUAGAAGAAAGGGUGGCCUCUACAAGAAAGCUAUCGCCUUAAGAGGGG
rnacentral:rRNA from 1 species